CAUGUAAACUUCAAUUUACUAUUGCAGCAAUAGUGUGCUGCCUAUUUUGCCCCUAACUUUCAACCUUAAUUACUGAAUUUUGCCAUAAUGUUGGAUGAUGCCACAUGUUCCAUCAACCAUCUGCCUUCUUUGUUCCUCUUUGUUUCCCCUUUCCUUUUCCUCGACACUGGGAUCUUCAUCCCCUUCCAUUUUCAAAAAACCCUAGCUCUCCUCUCUACAAUCUCCUCCGCCCCUUAACACAUCUCCUUCCAUCACCCUAGAUUUUAAGAUCGUCAAUGUUCGUUCUUCUUCAAGAGGAUGUUGUUUUAUGGUGAUAGAAGGCCACGUUCGAGGAUUCUGAGAAGGAGUACAACAUUGAUACAUCGGAAGGAUAUUAGAGGGAGCGCUGGGUUCUCACUGAAGAAGGAAGAAUCUAUGCUACUGCAGGCUCUCCUGAAGUGCAAGUAUACCCGGCUAUACCACAAGAGGGUAUCUCGCCAGAUGAACUUGAGGUUGUCGGUUUCUGCUUGCUGUAGAUAUGGUUCUUUCUUCAAUUGCAUAUUAUCAGAAAAUAUUCAAAUAGCAGCUGUUUGACAGAAUCCUGAUCAUAUAGCAGGCUCAGGGUGUGCUGUGAAGAUUUGGUGGAGAUCCACAACUUAAGUCAAUGAUACACUGGGUUUCAGCAUCUCAGGCUACCUUUAAACAUAUCAAUUAUAGGUGUGGGUUUCCUGUUGCGAAAAAUACUUAUUUGAUCAACUAUACUAUCGUCUUCAUGGUGGUUCUCUCGUAUAAUGUCGUCUUCAUGGUGGUUCUCUUAUAACGGCUGCUACGUCAGGAAAACUAGAACAUUUUAAUGGCGUUUUCAUGGUGGUUCUCUCGUAUACGAUCUUCUUUCCAAACGAUCUUGGAACAUCCCAUUUUCAAAGGUACACCAGUUUCAUAAACCCAAUUUCUAUUGUGGUCUUCUUAGCUUCACUUAAGCUGCAAUUUCAAUAAAAAUUUUUUGGAUAGUGAUAGGAAGCUUUAAUUUUGCUUAUGGGAUCGUUCAGUAUCAUUUGUUGUUUUCAAUUUUCUGUUUUUUACAAAUUAUUAAAACUUUUCAGCUUUUUGUUGUCAGUUUUCAAAGUCAGCCUGAUUACUGUAGGUAUGACUAUUAUUUGGUUCAUGAUUCAAACUAUUUGGGUUUGGUUGUUUAGUUUGCAAUCAGAAUGGGUUGGUCUGUAAUUAAAAGUCAUAUUUUAAUGGAGGUUUCGUUUAU